AUUGAACGCUGGCGGCAUGCCUUACACAUGCAAGUCGAACGGCAGCACGGGUGCUUGCACCUGGUGGCGAGUGGCGAACGGGUGAGUAUACAUCGGAACGUACCUUAUCGUGGGGGAUAACGCAGCGAAAGCUGUGCUAAUACCGCAUACGCCCUGAGGGGGAAAGCGGGGGAUCGCAAGACCUCGCGCGAUUAGAGCGGCCGAUGCCUGAUUAGCUUGUUGGUGGGGUAAAAGCCCACCAAGACGACGAUCAGUAGCUGGUCUGAGAGGACGAUCAGCCACACUGGGACUGAAACACGGCCCAGACUCCUACGGGAGGCAGCAGUGGGGAAUUUUGGACAAUGGGGGCAACCCUGAUCCAGCAAUGCCGCGUGAGUGAAGAAGGCCUUCGGGUUGUAAAGCUCUUUUGUCAGGGAAGAAACACCGGCUCUAACACAGUCCGGGAAUGACGGUACCUGAAGAAUAAGCACCGGCUAACUACGUGCCAGCCGCCGCCGUAA
rnacentral:rRNA from 1 species